rnacentral:rRNA from 1 species
UUCGGGACGCCGGCGAGUGGCGAACGGGUGAGUAACACGUGGAGACCUGCCCUGGGGUGGGGGAUAACAGCUAGAAAUGGCUGCUAAUACCGCAUACGCCUUACGAGGGAAAGAUUUAUUGCCCCAGGAGGGUUCCGCGUCGGAUUAGCUUGUUGGUGGGGUAACGGCCUACCAAGGCGACGAUCCGUAGCUGGUCUUAGAGGAUGAUCAGCCACACUGGGACUGAGACACGGCCCAGACUCCUACGGGAGGCAGCAGUGGGGAAUAUUGCGUAAUGGGGGAAACCCUGACGCAGCGAUGCCGCGUGGGUGAAUAAGGCCUUAGGGUUGUAAAGCCCUUUCAGUGGGAACGAUGAUGACGGUACCCACAGAAGAAGCCCCGGCUAACUCCGUGCCAGCAGCCGCGGUAAUACGGAGGGGGCGAGCGUUGU